AACUAUAAGGCGAAUGCAUUGGUGAGUUCUUUUAUCUCAACCAAUAUGCAAAUCAAGUCACAAUUUCCCCCUUAAAAGAGCCAGUCGGUUUUCCUUUUCAGGCUACACCCACCAAAACAAAGUUUGUGCACUUUCCCAAAUCCUUUCUGAUCAACUCCCCACCAUUCAUUGCACAGGGCAAAAAUGCUUCUGUGGCUAAACUUGGUAUCCUUACUGGCAGUCCUCCAUGGUGUCAAGUCUCAAGCCCAGUUGGUGGAGUCUGGAGGGGAUGUGAGACGACCUGGAGAGUCCCUCCGUCUCUCCUGCCAAGCCUCUGGAUUCACCUUCAGCAGCUCUUACAUGAACUGGAUGAGACAGGCUCCAGGGAAAGGACUGGAAUGGGUUUCAGAGAUAUAUCCAACUUCAUCUAGCAUUUACUACUCAGACAAAGUCAAGGGUCGCUUCACCACCUCCAGGGACAAUGCCAAAAGCCAGCUGUAUCUGCAAAUGAACAGCCUCAAAGCUGAAGACACGGCAGUCUAUUAUUGUGUGAGAGACACAGUGAGAGGAAGUGAAUCUGAAGCUAAACAAGAACCUUCCUUUCUUCAGAGCAGCUCCGCAACUUCAUUCAGCUCCAGAUCCUGGAUUAAUCAAUGA